rnacentral:rRNA from 1 species
CACACUGCCAAGAAAAGCUUCUAGUGAGAAAGUAACUGCCCGUACCGCAAACCGACACAGGUAGUUGAGGAGAGAAUCCUAAGGUGUGCGAGAGAACUCUCGUUAAGGAACUCGGCAAAAUGACCCCGUAACUUCGGGAGAAGGGGUGCUGACCGCAAGGUCAGCCGCAGUGAAUAGGCCCAAGCGACUGUUUAUCAAAAACACAGGUCUCUGCAAAAUCGAAAAAUGACGUAUAGGGGCUGACGCCUGCCCGGUGCUGGAAGGUUAAGAGGAGAGGUUAGCGCAAGCGAAGCUUUGAAUUGAAGCCCCAGUAAACGGCGGCCGUAACAAUAACGGUCCUAAGGUAGCGAAAUUCCUUGUCGGGUAAGUUCCGACCCGCACGAAAGGCGUAACGAUUUGGGCACUGUCUCAACGAGAGACUCGGUGAAAUUAUAGUACCAGUGAAGAUGCUGGUUACCCGCGACAGGACGGAAAGACCCCAUGGAGCUUUACUGCAGUUUGAUAUUGCGUGUUUGUAUCACAUGUACAGGAUAGGUAGGAGCCGAAGAUACCGGGACGCCAGUCUCGGAGGAGGCAACGGUGGGAUACUACCCUUGUGAUAUGACCACUCUAACCCGCUGCUCUUAGCGAGCAGGGAGACAGUGUCAGACGGGCAGUUUGACUGGGGCGGUCGCCUCCAAAAAUGUAACGGAGGCGCCUAAAGGUUCCCUCAGAAUGGUUGGAAAUCAUUCGUAGAGUGUAAAGGCAGAAGGGAGCUUGACUGCGAGACCUACAAGUCGAGCAGGGACGAAAGUCGGGCUUAGUGAUCCGGUGGUUCCGCAUGGAAGGGCCAUCGCUCAACGGAUAAAAGCUACCCUGGGGAUAACAGGCUUAUCUCCCCCAAGAGUUCACAUCGACGGGGAGGUUUGGCACCUCGAUGUCGGCUCAUCGCAUCCUGGGGCUGUAGUCGGUCCCAAGGGUUGGGCUGUUCGCCCAUUAAAGCGGUACGCGAGCUGGGUUCAGAACGUCGUGAGACAGUUCGGUCCCUAUCCGUCGCGGGCGUUGGAAAUUUGAGAGGAGCUGUCCUUAGUACGAGAGGACCGGGAUGGACGCACCGCUGGUGUACCAGUUGUUCUGCCAAGAGCAUCGCUGGGUAGCUAUGUGUAGACGGGAUAAACGCUGAAAGCAUCUAAGCGUGAAGCCCCCCUCAAGAUGAGAUUUCCCAUCACUUUAAGUGAGUAAGACCCCUGAGAGAUGAUCAGGUAGAUAGGUUGGGAGUGGAAGUACAGCGAUGUAUGGAGCGGACCAAUACUAAUCGGUCGAGGACUUAACCG